GAAACCCAGAAGUAACCUGUUCUGGUACUUCCGGGUUGCCGUGGGACACAGCGUGAAAAGACGCAACAUGAAGUGGACGCAACACGAGGUAUGACUGUAUUGCAGUAAAUAAACUUUCUGGAUUCUUCCUUCAACCCGAAUCACGAGUAGUUAAUGGUACAAGUGAGACAGCAGAUUUGCCCCCCUCUCUCCAUGUUUGAAUCAGUUAAUGAAAUGUCUUCUGUUUGGGGGUUUACUAUUUUUCCUUCUUCUAUUGCAAAACUUGGUGAUGGCCCUUAGCAAAGCAAUAAAGACUAUGAGAUUUUUAAUGAAAUGAUUUAUACACUUUUGGGGGCACGGCUCAGUCUUCAAGAGGCGAUUGCACAUACGAGAAAGCAAGUGAAUUUCCGGAAUGGGGCACGGCUUCUGCUUUCAGGCUGUCCCGUAGAAACUUUCCUAUCUGCUUGUCCCUGAGAAGUGUAAGGCAGAGGGAACAGAUAAGGUGAAAUGACGUUGUAUUCACUAAAUCAGUUUUCCAACAGUGUUUCCUGUUAUCUUGGUUGUGGUCCCCCGACAGUUGGUGCAAUCGCCUAUGGGACGCACCUCAUUGUUUUCUGGGAAAUGGAGCUUCUUGUCUUUGUCAUCCCUUAAAUGUAAAAGAGUUUGAAACAUGAAAAGAAGAAAAGGAGCCAGCAAAGCAGAUGUUCUUCUCUAUUAGACGCUUUGAUAGGCAUCCUAAGUCGUUUGAUUUCCCUACCGUAUUAAGGAUAAUUUCCUAUUUCACAGCAUAAUGCAGAAGACAGGCUGUAGUGGAAGCUGACAGGCGGGGUUCCACUGCCAGAAACAUUUCUUCCUCCUAGCGGGAGCUUUUGCAUCGAGCGCAUGGAUUAAACAGCUUAGGAGCAACAGAAAAUGACAAGUUUGAUAAAGCCCAAACCGGCUUAGCAUCUCAAGGUUGGGGAUGGGAGGUCUUAGGAGCUCAUCUCUGUGUUUUAUUCCAGUGCAGAAAUAUGCAGAACACGCAACACAGUCCAUGGGCAAAAUAGAUUUUUGCAGACUCUCGCUUUACAUGGUUAAUCUGCAAAACAGUAUCCAUAAAAAGAAUUGCAGCCAGGGAGUUUGUGUGUGAGAGAGAGGUAUGAAUGGCCUAAUGAUGAUGGCUCCUGCCCUGUUACACCCUGCGAAGGCGCAAUCAGACACUCCUUAGUUGACAAUAUGAAGAGCCCUGCACAUUGUUGACACCAAUUCACACAACAAGUGCCAAUGACCCAGGAGUGUGGUGGUUUGGAAAACAGAACAUAAUGCUUGGUUUCCUAAAUGGGAGACUGUUUCAUUGAUCAUCUUCUUUGUGAGGAGCAAGAAUUGGAGUUCCAUGGCAUGUUCUUAAUACUUCUUUAUUUACAGCCUGGAGAAGUGACAGUUCCCAAAGCAAUAGGAUGGAACCUGCUCUCCAUAAAACCUCAAUCCUGCUUCUUGUAGGCUGCAUGCAAAACUGUGCAGUUUUCCUUUCCCUUCUUCGUCUUUUGCAUGUGCAUGCACACACAGUGCAGAGAAGGGACCAUGAUUUCUCUCUCUCUCUCUCUCUCUCUCUCUCCCUCCCUCUCUCUCUCUCACACACACACUGAUUAUGCGUGGAAUAUCCAUGCAAAAGGUAAAAAAAAGGUAAAGGACCCCUGGAUGGUUAUGUCCAGUCAAAGACAACUAUGGGAUUGUGCUGCUCAUCUAGCUUUCAGGCUGAGGGAGCCAGCGUUUGUUCACAGACAGCUUUCCAGGUCAUGUGGCCAGCUUGACUAAACCGCUUCUGGUGCAACAGAAUAUCGUGACGGAAACCAGAGCGCAAUGAAAGACCAUUUACCUUCCUGUCACAGCGGUACCUAUUUAUGUACUUGCACUGGCGUGCUUUUGAACUGCUAGGUUGGCAGGAACUGGGUCAGAGCAACGGGAGCUCACCCCGUGGCAGGGAUUCAAAUUGCCAACCUUCCGAUCAGCAAGCCCAAGAGGUUCAUUGGUUUAGACCACAGUGCCAUCUGAGUUCAUGCAACACCACUAGUGCUAAUUAAACAAUCAUACAUAAGAAGAGCCCUCCUGGAUCAAGCCAAUGGCUCAUCUUGUCCAGCAUCUUGUCCUCAUAGUGGCCAACCAGAUGCCUAUUAUGGGAUCCCCCAAAGCAGGACCUGAGCACAACAGCACCCUACCCACUUAUAGUUCCCACCAAUAGUAGAGGUAGAACAUGGGCACCAUUGCUAGCAUCCAUUGAUAGCCUUAUGCUCCAUGCAUUUUUCCAUUCCUCUUUUAGAGUCAUCCAAGUUAGAGGCCAUCACUACCUCUUGUGAGAGUGCCUUCCAUAAUUUAACUUGGCACUUUGUGAUUAAGUCUUUUCUUUAAUCUGCCCUUAAUCUUCCAACAUUCAGCUCUAUUGGAAGCCCAUAAAGUCUCUGGGGCAAAAACGACAAUAUUUUGCUUGUUUGGGAGAUGUAGCAAGAGUAACACAGUAAUUUGAUAACAUGUUCCAGACUUAAUUAUUCCCUGCACAGAUGAACAACUAUUCCCCAUGCACAAAAAAUGUCGAGCGUUUCUUUUGGGCUUAGGCUGAAUUGCAUAAAAUGUGAAGGUGGUGGCGAGCUGGCGAGCUGGCAAGCUUUUGCUUAUUUAUCCAUCCUAUUUUCAAGUUCAGUUGUCUCAUGUACUUGCUCUCCACAUGUGAACCCACAUUUUUAAAUUGCAGAAUAAUUUGAAUGUUAAUAGCAAUAAUUAAUUCAGUCUUUUCUUAUUUGCAGUUAGACAUCAGACUUAUUAUUUUCCCACCUAAACUACUGCAUUAUUAACUUUCUUUUUGCGUUUUUAAUUCAGCUGAACUGUUCAGAUGUCAGGAAUGUGAGAUAGGUGUGGGGAGAUGGUGUGUUUAUUAAUAUUCAAACACACUUUGCAGUUUAUUCUUAUUUUAAAACAGAAACAGAAAAGAAGAAGACCUGCCUGUGGUUUAUUUUUCCUCCUUUCUGUGACUCCUCCAAGCUGUGAUGACCAAACAUUUCUUUCAGGGAAGCAGCAGGUCCAUGUUAUUAGCAAGGACCAAUUAAAUGCUACUGUAUCCAUAAACUAAUCAGCAACCUGUUGGACAGAAAUUAAUUAAAACGCACAUGUAAACAUAUGACUGGAAAAAGCACAGGCGCAUAGAAGUCAUUCUGUAUGCAAACGCAAUCAAGCAAUGGCAGCCAAUAUGAUUUGCCUAAUGACCAACUGGGGAUUCUUUGAAUUGAUAAAGUUCAAGAUGCACCAGUCCUAUAUUACAUGCCUGUCAGGGACUGUGCAGAGGAGGAAUGGUGGAGACCGCUGUGACGUUAACAUAUGAGAGAGUGCUGGAGGUGAAAUAGUUAAACAGGUUGCCCAGUCAGGACCCAGGGGGGUGGAGUCAGAGGGACUAUAAAACUAGCUUUGGGAGGAGUUCGUUGGGAGUUGGGUGGUUGGUUGGAGUGGGAGUGAAUUGGGAUAGAGUUGUGGGUAGGUUGAGUUAGUGUAACAAAAUAGGCUGAGUCAGGAACAGUUAGAGGCUAGAAAGACAAGUAAAUAUUGGAGAGGUGGUUUAGUGAGUGAGAGCAGGUAGCGAAAGUUAUAGGACUGGAUAGGCACCCCAUGAAUGUAAUUGACCGAUACUGUUUAUGAAACCACACGCUUGUUAAACUGCAAUAAAUAAACAAAAGUUUAUAUUUCAAUU
rnacentral:lncRNA from 1 species